UCGUAACAAGGUUUCCGUAGGUGAACCUGCGGAAGGAUCAUUACAGUAUUCUUUUGCCAGCGCUUAACUGCGCGGCGAAAAACCUUACACACAGUGUCUUUUUGAUACAGAACUCUUGCUUUGGUUUGGCCUAGAGAUAGGUUGGGCCAGAGGUUUAACAAAACACAAUUUAAUUAUUUUUACAGUUAGUCAAAUUUUGAAUUAAUCUUCAAAACUUUCAACAACGGAUCUCUUGGUUCUCGCAUCGAUGAAGAACGCAGCGAAAUGCGAUAAGUAAUAUGAAUUGCAGAUUUUCGUGAAUCAUCGAAUCUUUGAACGCACAUUGCGCCCUCUGGUAUUCCAGAGGGCAUGCCUGUUUGAGCGUCAUUUCUCUCUCAAACCCCCGGGUUUGGUAUUGAGUGAUACUCUUAGUCGGACUAGGCGUUUGCUUGAAAAGUAUUGGCAUGGGUAGUACUAGAUAGUGCUGUCGACCUCUCAAUGUAUUAGGUUUAUCCAACUCGUUGAAUGGUGUGGCGGGAUAUUUCUGGUAUUGUUGGCCCGGCCUUACAACAACCAAACAAGUUGACCUCAAAUC
rnacentral:misc_RNA from 1 species